AGCAGUCGCCGCGGGAAUACGAAGGGGGCUAGCGUUGUUCGGAAUUACUGGGCGUAAAGCGUACGUAGGCGGCUUUGUAAGUUAGAGGUGAAAGCCUGGAGCUCAACUCCAGAAUUGCCUUUAAGACUGCAUCGCUUGAACGUCGGAGAGGUGAGUGGAAUUCCGAGUGUAGAGGUGAAAUUCGUAGAUAUUCGGAAGAACACCAGUGGCGAAGGCGGCUCACUGGACGACUGUUGACGCUGAGGUACGAAAGCGUGGGGAGCAAACAGGAUUAGAGACCCCAGUAGUCCCUGUCUCUUAUAC
rnacentral:rRNA from 1 species